AGGAUCUCUUCUCCCUUCGAACCCCUUCCAAUUUCUAUUCUUUCUAAAGCAAGUAAGCAACACUACAUCUUGUCAGACGUGCGGCUGCACAUAACGAGGGAAUGUUGUGUCAAGCUUGGGGAUGUCUGGAUACGAUGGCUUGUGUUUCAAGAGCUAAUGAUCGAGAAGAAAUCUUGAUUACCAAAGCUGAUUCAGUACAAUGGUGUCGAAGGGGGACUUCCUUAGCUUUUUCAACAGAUCAGGACAACAGAUUAGGAAAUUGAGAUACAAUUUGUUUGAUUUUGUUAUGUAUAUUGGUGUUUUAUGUUGAUAUAUGUCAUUUUUUUUGGUGAAAUAUAUGUCAUCUUUUUAUUCUUG